rnacentral:rRNA from 1 species
GACAGAGGUGGCAAGCGUUGUCCGGAAUCACUGGGCGUAAAGGGCGCGUAGGUGGCGGGAUAAGCGUGUGGUGAAAGCUCGGGGCUCAACCCCGAGUCUGCCAUGCGGACUGUCUUGCUCGAGCGUAGUAGAGGCAGGUGGAAUUCCGGGUGUAGCGGUGGAAUGCGUAGAGAUCCGGAAGAACACCGGUGGCGAAGGCGGCCUGCUGGGCUACUGCUGACACUGAUGCGCGACAGCGUGGGGAGCAAACAGG